UAUGCUUAAGCUACCCAUUUCGUUUGUCUUCGGCAAUUCACUGAUAUGCUUAACACUCUCGUUUCUAUUCGCUUAAUUAGCUAUAAUAGUGACUGCUCAAAGAUAUCAUCACGAGAAGAUUUUAAUUGAACGAUCUUCUCGUUCACUUCUCAGCUUCGCAACACACCUGCAACUAUGAAGCUUGGCUAAGUAGCAUCGCGAACACAAAUGCUUCCGCAAAGCGACGAGUCUUCGCUCUAGACAAAAAGCGGCCGUUUUUGUCAUAGUUGUCAUAUUUGUAGGCUUCUUUCCUCGUUUCAUCUAGUGAUUUCACUUAGUUCCAUACUGUUGUUUGGGCUAAUUCAAUUCCGUCCUGCUAUAUGAACACGCCGGCCAAUUCAACUGUUGCAGGACUCGAGCACACUUUAGCACCUCAGCCACUUGAUAGCUUGAAAAGCUUCAAUGAAAGGCAUCUUCCUUAUGAUGUGGGAGGAGUUAAUAAGAUCGCUUUCAUACUUGUGGUCGCAAGUGGAUGAUGAGGAGCCACUUACGAAUUUCCGGCAGGUACAGGAUGGACGAAAUGCAAACAAUUGAGCCCCCUUCUUUAAACAAGCAAUGCUCAAGUUCAUUCGCCGGCCAUCUAACUCUAUCUAUCGAAACUACCGCUGAGCUAUCUUUACUAUAAUAAAUAUCAUUCGCUGGAAUCAUAAACUAUUUUAGUGGUAGGUAUCUCUUACAGUACAAAAAUGAUGAAUCGACAUUAAAACAAACCCUAAUAGGCACAUAGAUUUAUCUCAUUUAUAUAUUCCAAAGCUUUUAACUAGACCAGCACUACACGCCGUUAGUCGUGUCAUUACUAAGUAAUCCACCAAAUAACACAAACCAUGAAAAGUAAAUGUGUCACUAAUGAAGAAAUUCAACGUUGGAUCAAUUUAACUUUUAUCCAGUCGAGCUCACAGUUCGCGCGCGUUUAGUCAUCGCGUUGCUAUCGUAACGCCAGAGGCAGCGACCCCCAACGCC